CAGCAGCCGCGGUAAUACGUAGGGUCCGAGCGUUGUCCGGAAUUAUUGGGCGUAAAGAGCUCGUAGGCGGUCUGUCGCGUCUGCCGUGAAAUCCUCAGGCUCAACCUGAGGCGUGCGGUGGGUACGGGCAGGCUAGAGUGCGGUAGGGGAGAAUGGAACUCCUGGUGUAGCGGUGGAAUGCGCAGAUAUCAGGAAGAACACCGAUGGCGAAGGCAGUUCUCUGGGCCGUAACUGACGCUGAGGAGCGAAAGCGUGGGGAGCGAACAGGAUUAGAGACCCCAGUAGUCCCUGUCUCUUAUAC
rnacentral:rRNA from 1 species